rnacentral:lncRNA from 1 species
CUAAUGCCUAGUCUAGGGCAUUUUCAAGUCCACUACCCGGAUGGUAGUGAUGCUGAAAAUGGCGACACUGGCCGACCGCUGAGCACACAGCGAGCACCUCACGGGUGUUACCUCCUUCCUUCCCAUGGCGCAGGCCCAGCGAUUGCCUUGUUCAUCCUUAUCCUUGGUGCUGGGCUAGACGCAAGAUGUGCGGAAACUCCUAAGACAGGCCUGCCCUCAAGGCACUCGCAGACCGCAGGGAGACAGGAAUAACAAGCUCUGUGAUAAGCCCUGGCCAAGCCCCACCCAGGAGAUAUGCCAUGGAAACGGGAUGCCUGGGUGGCAGGGAUCUUUGAAUGGUUGACCCCAUAUUACGUCUACCUGCCUGAUGAAGGAAAGCCAAAAGCAAGCUGGAGAGGCCCACAUAGAAAGAAGCUGUGGGCCACCAUCCGCCAUGGCCAGCAAGGAACUGAGAGCCUCAGUCCAGCAGCUGGGGAAGAACUGAGUCCUGCCAAUAACCACAGAGUGAACUUGGCAACAGAUCUUGACCCAGCUGAGCCUUCAGGCUGGAGCACUUAAUGGGCGGUGCAAAUGCCUUGAUGCUUUGUCGUCCUGCCAUGGUGACAAUGGAAGAGCCACCAGACUGGAGGAGCUGAGGACACUGAGCUAUCAUAUGGGGACAGCUGCCCUGGAGAGCCGCCCAGACUCACAGCUGACUUUGUCCCCACCUCAGUGUCUAAGAAGGGGCCCUGCAUCUGGGAGUUGGAGACUACUCCUGGUAUUGUGAACCCUAGGAGCUGCUUCCCUCCCUGUCUCUUUUUCUGCUGAUGACCUCGGUCCUUCAGGAAGCAAAGAAAACAAGCUCCUCAGAGACAUCCUGAAGGGCUCUGUCAGGUCCAUCAUCCGCACUGUGCUCUGGACGGUGACUCUGUCCAGGAUGGACCCCGUCGGUGGACUCUGAGCCUUUUGAAGACAUCAGGUCUCAGGCCAGCUUGCUCCCAAGGAUGCCCCUUCCCUCUCUUUGCCUUUGCAUAUAGCUUUUCUUUCUCAUUGACAUUGUCUGUGGAGAGACACUGUGGAUGGCAUGAAUAAUAGAUUAGUAAAUUGGAGUCUC